AUACGGGGGGUGCAAGCGUUAUUCGGAAUUAUUGGGCGUAAAGGGCGCGUAGGCGGUUUUACAAGUCAGAUGUGAAAUACCUGGGCUUAACCGAGGAAGAGCAUUUGAAACGGUGAGACUUGAGUAUGGGAGAGGGUAGUGGAAUUCCUGGUGUAGAGGUGAAAUUCGUAGAUAUCAGGAGGAACACCUGUGGCGAAAGCGGCUACCUGGACCAAUACUGACGCUGAGGCGCGAAGGCGUGGGGAGC
rnacentral:rRNA from 1 species